rnacentral:rRNA from 1 species
AUUGAACGCUGGCGGCGUGCUUUACACAUGCAAGUCGAACGGCAGCACGGGUGCUUGCACUUGGUGGCGAGUGGCGAACGGGUGAGUAAUACAUCGAGACGUACCAAGUAGAGGGGGAUAACUAAUCGAAAGAUUGGCUAAUACCGCAUAAUCUCUGAGGAGGAAAGGUGGGGACCAGCAAUGGCCUGUCGUUACUUGAGCGGUCGAUGGUUGAUUAGCUAGUUGGUGGGGUAAGAGCUUACCAAGGCGAUGAUCGAUAGCUGUUCUGAGAGGAAGAUCAGCCACACUGGGACUGAGACACGGCCCAGACUCCUACGGGAGGCAGCAGUGGGGAAUAUUGGACAAUGGGGGCAACCCUGAUCCAGCAACGCCGCGUGAAUGAAGAAGGCCUCGGUUGUAAGUUACUUUGUUCUGGGGUCGAAGUACUGUGUGGUG